AGAGCGGCGAACGGGUGAGUAACGCGUACGUAACUUGCCUCACAGCGGGGGAUAGCCCCGGGAAACUGGGAUUAAUACGCCAUAGUAUUGUAAAGCCGCAUGGUUUAACAAUUAAAGUUCAGGCGCUGUGAGAUGGGCGUGCGUGCUAUUAGCUAGUUGGUGAGGUAACGGCUCACCAAGGCUACGAUAGCUAGGGGGCGUGAGAGCGUGGCCCCCCACACGGGUACUGAGACACGGACCCG
rnacentral:rRNA from 1 species